rnacentral:rRNA from 1 species
GACGAACGCUGGCGGCGUGCUUAACACAUGCAAGUCGAACGGAAAGGCCCUGCUUUUGUGGGGUGCUCGAGUGGCGAACGGGUGAGUAACACGUGAGUAACCUGCCCUUGACUUUGGGAUAACUUCAGGAAACUGGGGCUAAUACCGGAUAGGAGCUCCUGCUGCAUGGUGGGGGUUGGAAAGUUUCGGCGGUUGGGGAUGGACUCGCGGCUUAUCAGCUUGUUGGUGGGGUAGUGGCUUACCAAGGCUUUGACGGGUAGCCGGCCUGAGAGGGUGACCGGCCACAUUGGGACUGAGAUACGGCCCAGACUCCUACGGGAGGCAGCAGUGGGGAAUAUUGCACAAUGGGCGGAAGCCUGAUGCAGCAACGCCGCGUGCGGGAUGACGGCCUGCGGGGUGUAAACCGCUGUCGCCUGUGACGAAGCGUGAGUGACGGUAAUGGGUAAAGAAGCACCGGCUAACUACGUG